CCUACGGGUGGCAGCAGUGAGGAAUAUUGGUCAAUGGGCGCAAGCCUGAACCAGCCAAGUAGCGUGAAGGAUGACUGCCCUACGGGUUGUAAACUUCUUUUAUAAAAGGAUAAAGUGAGGCACGUGUGCCUUUUUGUAAGUACUUUAUGAAUAAGGAUCGGCUAACUCCGUGCUAGCAGCCGCGGUAAUACGGAGGAUCCGAGCGUUAUCCGGAUUUAUUGGGUUUAAAGGGAGCGUAGGUGGGUUGUUAAGUUAGUUGUGAAAGGUUGCGGCUCAACCGUAGAAUUGCAAUUGAUACUGGCAGUCUAGAGAAUAGUUGAGGUAGGCGGAAUGCGUGGUGUAGCGGUGAAAUGCUUAGAGAUCACGAAGAACACCGAUUGCGAAGGCAGCUUACUAAACUGCCACUGACAUUGAUGCUCGAAAGUGUGGGUAUCAAACAGGAUUAGAUACCCGUGUAGUC
rnacentral:rRNA from 1 species